AAACGUUGCUAAAGCUCAACUCGAAAUUGAGUUCAGUUGAAAUAGGUGUCAACAAGAUGUGGUAGUGGUUUUAACCUCUUCAUAUUGAGAGAGUU
rnacentral:antisense_RNA from 1 species